GGCUUCGUAGCUCAGGUGGUAGAGUGUUUGCGGUUUUUGGGCAUGUUGUUUAUGUCGAUGGUUCGCAUCCAGCCGAAGUCC